UACUUAUUUUAUAUACAGUCCUGGUCAAGUUUACAUAAACCUUGCAGAAACAAAAUGUUAUUUUUGUUAGCCUAUUAUACAAACACACACAAAAAAAAAAAAAAAAAAAAACCCUGGAUCAAUGAUUCGUUGGCUCAACAUCCAUUACUUAUAAAGAUAAAUAGAUUAAACUCGAAAAAAAUAUACAUUCAUAACAUUUCAAUCUGCACUUAACUUAUUCUAGUGUGCAACACAAAAAUGUAAACUAAAAGGUGAGCAUAAGUGUAUGUGUAAAGUAAAUUAAAAAAACGUAAGUAACAUCAACUAGCAUUACAACUCGGCUAGAAUUAAGUAAACUCGUAUUUGUGAGCUGCAUGAUAUGCAAAUAUUCUAUGAGCAAAUGAGUGAAGCUGGAGCCAUUUUGAAGUGAUGUGGUCAAGACAACUGUUAGGUAAGCUGUCUUUUAAAAAGUAAAAAUAUUAUAAAAAUAUAUAAGUAAAAUAUUAGAGCUUGACCUUUUUAAACAUUCAUAAACACUUAUUUAUUGUGUUAGUGGGUGUAUUCCUAAACCGGAAGCACAAUACAACAUUUUCUGAGGCGUGAUGUGGUGAAGAUGAUGAAAGGAGACCAAACCUGUUCAAAUACACAGAGAAGUUGAUUCAGUGUUUAAUGUUGUACCUCUCUGACAACACUAAUGAUCUCAUCAGGCAUCACCAGGAUAUUUAUGGUGACCUUGAGGAACUGGAACAGCACACACACUGAUCAUGAUGGUGGAUUCAUGGAUGAUGGGAAUUUUCUUUUUGUCAAAUUGUCACAUUUUUUUAUUCAGACGUACCACAGUCAUGAUUUUUGGUUUCAGACUAUAAGUUGUUGUUGUUUCCUGAGUAGUAUUGCAAUCUCUGUCAAAAAACCUAAAAUGCUUUAUUUCUGUACUAAUUGUGUGAAAACCUUUUGUUGAAAUGCUGUCCAAAAAUGAAGUAAAUUGCUUUGUUUUUUGCUAAUUUUAUGUUUUGUGUUUAUUCUAAGACAUUUAAUGUCAUUUCACUUUAAUGGCAAUGGAAAGGAAAUUGCCAUUAAAGUGAAAUAACUGAACCUAAACACAGGAGCCUGAUAAAAAUUGCUCAUUUUAGGAGUAAAUUUCAGAUGGCACUGAGAGGCUUUUGCAUCUGAAGCCUUUAUUUUAUCAAUCUGAAUUCUUUAAAUCAAGAAAUAUCAAUUCCCUGACAAAUAUCACAGCUAUUUUACAUUC